UAUGGUAAUAAUAAAUCUUUUAUUUCUGUUGGCUUCUCCCAAACUACCAUUUCCCCCUCAUGUUCUGACAUACUUCUUCACUGCUAGCUUGCUGUGUGAACCUUCAGUCCAUUUUAAAUUACCUAAGUAAUUAUAUGUAAUUUCUUUUCUUUUUUUUUUCUUUUUCUUUGAGACAGAGUCUCAUUCUGUCGCCCAGGCUGGAGUACAGUGGUGCAAUCUCGGCUCACUGCAACCUCCGCCUCCCGGGUUCAACCGAUUGUCCUGCCUCAGCUUCCCGAGUAACUGGAACAACAGGCGCCCGCCACCUCGCCUGGCUAAUAUUUGUAUUUUUAUUAGAGACGGGGUUUCACCAUAUUGGCCAGGCUGCUCUCAAACUCUUGACCUCGUGAUCCACCAGCCUCGGCCUCCCAAAGUGUGGGGAUUACAGGCUUGAGCCACUGCACCCGGCCUGUAAUUUCUAUCUCUGAAAGAUCGGUCUGCACCAUUGUCUGGAAAUUUUGUUUGCUGAAGCAGUUGCUGUAGUCCUUCAUCCCCUUCACCGUGGCUGCUCUUCCUGUAUAUGGAUAUGGAUGCUUUACUGCUGUGCUUGUAUCCAAGCUGGCACUGGAUCGUGCAUAUCUUAUGCUGACUGAAGGUAAUAUAUGGCAGGUCAAAACAGAGAGUCUUUGAAUCCCUUGCUCCAAGCAGAGCUUGAAAUUAAUAGGGCAUCUUGAAUCAAUGAACUGACAUCAUUUGUAAGUUUUGGGAAACCCUCAACAUUUAUUUCUUUAAACAUGAUUCUGCUUCAUUUUGCUUUUGAGACAUUUUCCCUCUCUUUUUCUUUGAUUCCACUUAAGCAUAUGUUUGACCUAUCACUAUGCUGUCUAUGAAUUUAACCCCCUUAUCUCUAUUUCCUACCCUUUGUUUCUCUGUGUCUCAUUGAGAAUUUUUUUUGACCUAUUGAUCUUUUCAUGAGCUUUUUCUUCAGUUUUAUCUAAUAUGUUGCUAAAACCAGAGAUUUUGAGUUCUAAGAUAUUUUUUUCAAAUAUGUAAAUUUUUAAUACAAUUAUCUGUCAAUGCUUUUUAAAUUUUGUCUUUUAUUUCCUGGUACAUAGUCAUAUGAUUCUUUUAUUAUCUGCUUUUGAUUAUUUCAACAUUUGAAGUCCCUAUGGACACCAUUCUAUUGGGCCUUUUUCUUUUCUUUUCUUUCUUUUUUCUUGCUGGCUCUUUUUGAAUUUAUAACUUCUUGUUCUUGAUUAUCUUUGAUUGUGAACUGAAAUUUGUAGUUUGGAAAAGUAUUUGUAGAAAUUAUUUUAUGCCUACAGUGAUGUUAUCUUCCUCCAGAGAGAAUGCAUGUUUCUUUUAAAUUGAUAUUUGUAAGCAUUAGAAAUUUUGAAUAACAGUCAACCUCUUU
rnacentral:lncRNA from 1 species